AUUGAACGCUGGCGGCAGGCCUAACACAUGCAAGUCGAGCGGUAGCACAGAGAGCUUGCUCUCGGGUGACGAGCGGCGGACGGGUGAGUAAUGUCUGGGAAACUGCCUGAUGGAGGGGGAUAACUACUGGAAACGGUAGCUAAUACCGCAUAACGUCGCAAGACCAAAGUGGGGGACCUUCGGGCCUCAUGCCAUCAGAUGUGCCCAGAUGGGAUUAGCUAGUAGGUGGGGUAACGGCUCACCUAGGCGACGAUCCCUAGCUGGUCUGAGAGGAUGACCAGCCACACUGGAACUGAGACACGGUCCAGACUCCUACGGGAGGCAGCAGUGGGGAAUAUUGCACAAUGGGCGCAAGCCUGAUGCAGCCAUGCCGCGUGUAUGAAGAAGGCCUUCGGGUUGUAAAGCACUUUCAGCGGGGAGGAAGGCGAUAAGGUUAAUAACCUGUCGAUGACGU
rnacentral:rRNA from 1 species